rnacentral:rRNA from 1 species
GUGGGGAAUAUUGGGCAAUGGGCGAAAGCCUGACCCAGCAACGCCGCGUGAGGGAAGAAGGUUUUCGGAUCGUAAACCUCUGUCCUUAGUGAAGAGUAAGAGACGGUAGCUAAGGAGGAAGCCCCGGCUAACUACGUGCCAGCAGCCGCGGUAAUACGUAGGGGGCGAGCGUUGUCCGGAAUGAUUGGGCGUAAAGGGCGCGUAGGCGGCCUGUUAAGUCCGGAGUGAAAUUCCUGCUUUCAAGGUAGGAAGUGCUUUGGAAACUGGCGGGCUGGAGUGCAGGAGAGGUUAGCGGAAUUCCCGGUGUAGCGGUGAAAUGCGUAGAGAUCGGGAGGAACACCAGUGGCGAAGGCGGCUAACUGGACUGUAACUGACGCUGAGGCGCGAAAGUGUGGGGAGCAAACAGGAUUAGAAACCCCUGUAGUCC